AGAGUUUGAUCAUGGCUCAGAAUGAACGCUGGCGGCGUGCUUAACACAUGCAAGUCGAACGAGAAAGCUUUAGCUUGCUAGAGCGAGUAAAGUGGCGAACGGGUGAGUAACGCGUGGGUAAUCUACCUCCGGAUUCGGGCUAACACUUCGAAAGGGGUGUUAAUACCGGAUGAUAUUCAUGCCCUUGAGGGGGAAGGGAUGAAAGAUGGCCUCUUCAUGAAAGCUGUUGUUUGGAGAUGAGCCCGCGUACCAUUAGCUAGUUGGUGGGGUAACGGCUCACCAAGGCGACGAUGGUCAGCUGGUCUGAGAGGAUGAUCAGCCACACUGGAACUGAUACACGGUCCAGACUCCUACGGGAGGCAGCAGUGAGGAAUUUUGCGCAAUGGGGGAUACCCUGACGCAGCAACCCCGCGUGAGUGAAGAAGGCCUUCGGCUCGUAAAGCUCUCUCGAGUGGGAAGAAUCUGGCCCCUAUGAACAGUAUGGGUCACUGACGGUACCGCAUAAGGAAGCACCGGCUAACUCCGUGCCAGCAGCCGCGGUAAUAAUCGAA
rnacentral:rRNA from 1 species